UAGACAGAUGCUUGUUGGUUAAAGCGCUUAGCUGUUAACUAAGAUUUUGUAGGAUCGAGGCCUACCUGUCUAG
rnacentral:tRNA from 2 species